CUCGGCCUCCCAAAGUGCUAGGAUUACAGGUGUGAGCCACUGUGCCCGGCCUAUAAUAUAUCUUGAACCAGAUAGUGUAAAUCCUUUUUGUUAUUUUCAAAAAGUUUAUUAUUCUAGUUCUUUUGAUUUUUAAUAUAAAUUUUAGAAUCCAUUUAUUGAUUUUUUACAAAAAUUUCUGCUGGAUUUUUGACUGGGAUCAUGUUAAGUGUAUAGAUUGAUUUGGGAAGAAUGGCCAUCUUACCAAUAUCAAGUCUUCCGAUCCAUUCCAUGAACAUGGUUUUAUUCUUAAUUAUUUGGAUCACCUCUGUUUUUGUUCAUUAGUAUUUUGUAGUUUUUAGCAUACAAAUCAUGCACAUAUCUGGUUAGAUUUAUUCGUAAGUGUUGGGUUUUUUUAAUGUUAUUAUUAAUUGUCCUGUUGCUUAAGUUUAAAUUUCCCAUUGUUCAGUACUAAUAAAUAAAAAUAUCAAUAUGGAAUGUGUACCAUAUAUAUGAAUACAUCUAUUUAAUUAAUUUAGUUCUCAAGCAAAUUAUAAUAUAGGGCACUUUUGAUUCCAUUAUCUCUUGGCAAAAUGGUUGAUUGUGUAUUUCAUGAUAAUAUUUUAAAUAGUUUGUUUUUCAUGUUUUAUUUUAAUGCUUUGGUUGGUCAAACUUUUGAAACUUUAUAAGAAAAUGCAUUAAAAUAAUUUGAUAAUUUGAUUAUUAGGGCUUUUUAUUAUUCCAUACAACAUAGUUAUGGUGAGUGUUCACUAUCUGCUCUUUGGAUAAUUUAAUUUUUAUUUCUAGACCUUCAUGUUACUGUCUAGGUGUUUGUCCCUAGCUUUUAAGGUCUUUCAAUAACCAGCUUGCUUUUGUCCAUUUCAUUUUCUUCUUCUCUUUGAUUUCAUGAUUAUUAGUUAUGUUUGUAUUUUUCACCAUUCAAUUCAUGACUUUCUAAUUUGAUUUAUUUUAUUUAGAGAUAUAGAAUCUUAGAGUUGAAAAAAUUCUGGAGAUUAAUCCAAGGGGUUUUUCUUUUAAACUUGAAAAAAUGUACUAAUAUUAGGGAAACCUAACACCUGUUUUGUUAAUUUGUUCACAUGGAAAAGUUAAGAUGCAAGGUCUAACAUGUAAUGCUGGUUUAGAGAUCCUGGUUUAGAGACAAUUCUAGUAUGGUCAGUGGGGCUGUCUCAUGAUAUGUGUUGUGAUGCUGGAUGAUAAGAUGUAAGGUAGUUGUUUCGUGGUGCUUGCAGGGGUUGGAGGGAAUUUCCAAUUAUAUGGGAGCUAGUGUGCUUGCUUAGGGUGUUUUACUCAAAAGGCUAUAGAGAAAUAUAAUAUGUGAAAAUGAUAAUCUUCAAAUUGUUAUGAUAAAAUAUUUUAGAAAACUCUUGGAACAUGUAACUGAUUUGCUGCAUUAAAGCACCUUUAUGUUUCCUCCCAGAAUUAUGUUUAAUUAUAAGGGAGCUUAUUAACAUUGUUCUAGUUAAAUUAUAUUAGCAUUUCUAUUAUAUUGUGUUUGUUCAAGGAUUUAAAGUGCUGUAAGUUUUCUUCUAGUGCAAAUGUCUAUAUAUAGUUUUUAAAUGGGUUGGAAAUUACUAAUUAUAAAAGGAAUAAAUAUUUGAAAAGCUAAUUUGACAGCAACCAUUUCUAUUAUUAGUCACAUAAAAUUUCUAAUAGUUAAAAGCCAAAUUUCAGUUAUUUUUCUCUAGCCUUUUUGCCAAUAAUUAUAUAUAAUCUUAGUCAUAAAUGAGUUUUGUGAUUUUGCCGCUUUUCUUAUAACUUUGUAUUUUGAUAUGCAUUUUAAAAUUAUAUUUUGAAAUAACUUCAAACUCAGAAAAGUCGUAAGAAUGGUAUGAGGAAUUUUGUAUACCCUUUAAACCAAGCUUGUCCAACUUGCGGCCCGCGGGCUGCAUGCAGACCACGAUGGCUUUGAAUGUGGCCCCACAUAAAUUCAUAAACUUCCUUAAAACAUUGAGAUGUAUUUGUGAUUUGUUUUUUGUUAACGUGUGGCCCAAGACAAUUCUUCUUCCAAUGUGUCUUAGAGAAGCUGAAAGACUAGACACCCCUGCUUUAAACAGUUUCAUUGUUUGCAUACAUUUUGCCUCAUUUGUUUCAUUAUUCAUUCUUUUUAUGAUUUUUGGGGGGUGUAAUUUAGAGACAUCACUCCUCUUGACCAUUAUAUGUUUCAGCCCCUAUUUCUUAAGAACAAGGUUAUUCUUUUAGAGAACCACAGUACAAUGUUCAAAAUCAGGACAUUGAACACAGAUAUAAUACUAUAAUACUACUGUCUAAUCCAAAGUCCAUAUUCAUAUUUCAACAAUUGUUCCCCAAAAUGUUCUUUUUUGCUAUAAUUUUUCCUGGUUCAGGAUUGAGUGUGGGAUCAUGCCUGCAUUUCCUUCUCAUACCUUUAGUCUCCUUUAAUCUGGACUAUCCCUCAGCUUUCUUUUACUUUCUUGACCUUAACAUUUGUAAAGACACUUUUGUCAGGAGACCAUAGGUCAGAUGUCGUGUUGUUCUCAAGGCAUCAUAAUGUUACGUUGUCCCAAGUCUGAUGAUUGUUAAUUUUGACCAUUUGCUUAAAGUGGGUGUUUGCUAGCAUCCUCCACUGUUAGUUAUGAGUUUUCCCUUUGUAAGUAAGUAACUCGUGGAAGUUACUUUUGCACUACGUAAAUAUUCUGCUCCUACUCAAACUUAUCCACUAGUUUUGGCACCCAUCAGUUUUCUGACUCCAUCAUUCAUUCCAUAGUUUUUGACUGGCAUUUGACUAUUAAGAAAGCGCUUUUCCUUCUCCCUAUUUAUUUGCUAUUUAUAUCAGUAUGCACUCAUAGAUCCUUAAUUUAUCUAAUGGGUUAUGAUCUAUGACUCUUCUUAUUUAUUUUGAUGUUCAAAUUUUCCCAGUUUUGGCUACUAGGAGUGCUUUCAAGCUGGUUCCUGUUCAUAUAGCUCCAUCAUCCUACAAGUGCUUGCUUACUUUCUAGCAGAUGUUUAAAGCUCAUGUUGUUAUUUAUUCACUGUCCUUGCCCUAGAAUCAAUCAGCCUUUUCUCUAAGGAGCUCUAGUUGCUUUUAAUGGAGAAUAGUGUUUAGCAGCCUAAAUUUGGACACUAGAAGUGCUCAUUGCUGCCGGUGUGUCAUUGCUUCUAGACCUUUAUAAACAGAGCAAGGAAAUGUUUGUGUGUAUGUGUACGUGUUCACAUAUCUACCUACCAGAAACAAUGAAUUCAAAUAGAUACUCCCAUUCCAAUUCAGUGCUACAAUGUACAUUCUGUUCUCUUUCCAUAUUUUAACUCUCUUAUCCAAAAAGCCUCUUAUUAUCCUCAAUAUAUUUACUCAUUUGUGUAAGCCUAGAGUACACUGUAAAUAGUUUCCGAACUGCUAACUCAUACUGCUGUGAAAGCAAACCUACUAGCUAGAGUUAAUAUUUGUUUCCAGUUCUUUUUUAAGGUAAAUUUACUUACAGUACUGUACACAAUUUAAUUCUGAUAAAUGUAUUGACCCACAUAACCCCUACCUCUAUCAAAAGACAGAAUAUUUCCAUUCUUAGAAAGUUCCUUCAUGCCUCUUCCCAGUCAAUUUCAUGUUCAUAGACGCAAGCAUUUUUCUGAUUUUUUUUUUAAAAACCAUAGAUCAGUUUUGCCUGUUCUAGAAUGUAUAUAUAUAGAAUUACGCAGCAUAUACUUCUUUGUAUCUGGCAACUUUUGACCAACGUAAUGUCUGACAUUUACUGAUGGUGAUGGUAAAGUUUCGUAGUCAACCUGGCUACGUUAAAUGUGAUACCCAGAUAGCUGGUAAAACAUUAUUGCUGGGUGUGUCUGUGAGGAUGUUUCUGGAAGAGACUAGCAUUUGAAUCAGUGUAAAAAGAUCCACCAUCAGGGAUAUGGGUGGCUAUUGCCCAAUCCAUUGAGGGCCUGCAGGAAUAGAACAAAAAGGUGGAGAAAGAGCUCAUCCUUUCUCUCUUUUUGAGCUUGGGCAUCUAUCUUCUCCUGCCCUUGGACAUUGGAGCUCCAGUUUCUCAGGCCUUGAGACUCCAGGAUUGAUACUAGCGCCUUUUCCUGGUUCUCAGACCUUUGGCCUUGGCUUGGGAGUUACACCAUUGGUUCUCCUGGUUGUCAGGUCUUUAAGCUUGUACUGAGUUACACCAUCUGUUUCUCCAGCUUGCAGACAGCAUAGCAUGGGACUUCUCGGCCUCCAUAAUCAUGUGAGCCAAUUCCUGUAAGUCUCCUCUUACUUGCUUAUAUGUUUCUCUGGAGAACCCUGACUAAUACAGGUACAAUGCUGGAUGUAUCAGUAGUUUGUUUUGUUUUAUUGCUGAAUAGUAUUCCACUGUGUGAAAAUAUCACAAUCUACUUAUCUUCCUGUUGAUAGUCUUUGAAUCAUUUCAGAUAAGUUAUGAAUAAAGCUGCCAUGAAGAUUCCCUAUACAAGUCUUUUUGGAGAUAUAAGUUUUCAUUGGAUAAGUAUCUAAUAGAGGAAUCACUGCAUUGUGUAAGUGUGGGUGUAACUUUAUAAAAACUUUCAAGCUAUUUUCCUAAGGGACUGUAUAUUCUUUACCAUGCUCCAAAUCUAUAUAAUGCAGCAUUCUCCAGUGAUAGAAAAGUAAUAGGAUAUGUGUAUAUAGACAGAAAGAGACUUAUUGUAAGGAACUGGCUUAUGUGAUUAUGGAGACGGGCAAGUCCAAAUCUGCAGUGUGAGCUGGCAGGCUCGAGAUCCAGGAUAGCUGAUGGUGCAGAUGAAGUCUGGAGGCAGUCUGCUGGGAAAUUCUCCCUUCCCUGGGGCAUCUGAUCUUUUUGUUCUGUUCAGGCUUUCAGCUGAUUGGAUGCAGCCCACCUACGUUAUGGGGAGCAAUCUGCUUACUCGCAGUUUACUGAUCUAAAUUUUAAUCUCAUUCCAGGACACUCUCCAAGAUGAAAUUAACCAUCACACAUCCACCCCUUGUCAUCCUGGUGCUCAUACACAUCUCCUUACACCACGAUUAAUCUCCACUAAAGGCGAUAACAAGUGUGGAUCCCCUUGGCAGUCAGGAUCAGUUACUCCAGUCAACACAAGAUCUCCCUUCUCUGCCUGCUGAUUCAGAGGCAUGGGGGACCCAAG
rnacentral:lncRNA from 1 species